rnacentral:rRNA from 1 species
UAGGGAAUCUUCCACAAUGGACGCAAGUCUGAUGGAGCAACGCCGCGUGAGUGAAGAAGGUCUUCGGAUCGUAAAACUCUGUUGUUAGAGAAGAACACGAGUGAGAGUAACUGUUCUUGUAUUGACGGUAUCUAACCAGAAAGCCACGGCUAACUACGUGCCUG